AAUCAACGCUGGCGGCGUGCCUCAGACAUGCAAGUCGAACGAGAAAGUUUCCUUCGGGAGACGAGUACAGUGGCGUCCGGGUGAGUAACACGUGGGUAAUUUACCUUUGGGUGGGGAAUAGCAGCCGGAAACGGCUAUUAAUACCGCAUAAUGCAGCGGCUCGACAUCGAGACAGUUGUUAAAGCGGGGAUCUGACAAGGACCUCGCGCCUAAAGAGAAGCCUGCGUCAGAUUAGCUAGUUGGUAGGGUAAUGGCCUACCAAGGCUGUGAUCUGUAGCCGGCCUGAGAGGGCGGUCGGCCACACUGACACUGACACACGGGUCAGACUCCUACGGGAGGCAGCAGUCGGG
rnacentral:rRNA from 1 species